rnacentral:lncRNA from 1 species
UAAAAGAAAAGAAAACAAGAAUGUGUCCAAAGUACAUGGAUGCCCCACUCGCACUAUCCUUUUCCAUGUUCCAUGGACCGUGAAAUUGGGUAAUUAUCUAAUUUGGCAUUAAAAUUAGAAAGAUCAUAUCAUAAGCAACAAGUGUACUAAGUUUCAAGUUGAUUGGACUUCAGCUUCAUCAAAAACUACCUUGACCAAAAACUUUAACCUGAAACUCCCACUUUCAUUUUCUAUGUUCAGUGGACCGUGAAAUUGGGGUCAAAAGUCUAAUUUGGCUUAAAAAUUAGAAAGAUCAUCUCAUAAGCAACAAGUGUACUAAGUUUCAAGUUGAUUGGACUUCAGCUUCAUCAAAAACUACCUUGACUAAAAACUUUAACCUGGACGGACGAACGGAACCACAGACGGACGGAUGGACGAACGGAGCCACAGACCAGAAAACAUAAUGCCCCUCUACUAUCGUAGGUGGGGCAUAAAAACAUU